rnacentral:rRNA from 1 species
ACGAACGCUGGCGGCGUGCUAAACACAUGCAAGUCGAACGGAAAGGCCCUGCUUUUGUGGGGUGCUCGAGUGGCGAACGGGUGAGUAACACGUGAGUAACCUGCCCUUGACUUUGGGAUAACUUCAGGAAACUGGGGCUAAUACCGGAUAGGAGCUCCUGCUGCAUGGUGGGGGUUGGAAAGUUUCGGCGGUUGGGGAUGGACUCGCGGCUUAUCAGCUUGUUGGUGGGGUAGUGGCUUACCAAGGCUUUGACGGGUAGCCGGCCUGAGAGGGUGACCGGCCACAUUGGGACUGAGAUACGGCCCAGACUCCUACGGGAGGCAGCAGUGGGGAAUAUUGCACAAUGGGCGGAAGCCUGAUGCAGCAACGCCGCGUGCGGGAUGACGGCCUUCGGGUUGUAAACCGCUUUCGCCUGUGACGAAGCGUGAGUGACGGUAAUGGGUAAAGAAGCACCGGCUAACUACGUG